AUGGGCAGCUUGGACACCAACCCAAUGGCCUUCUCCGCCUUGCCCAACGACAAGGCAGCGUUCGAGCCGCUAAACCCCGAAGAUGUCCGCGCAUACCUCCACAAGGCCGUCGACUUCAUCUCCGACUACUACACCAACGUCGAGUCCAUGCCCGUUCUCCCUAACGUGAAGCCGGGAUACCUGCAGGACGAGCUCAGCGCGUCCCCGCCGACCUACUCGGCGCCCUUCGAUGUCACCAUGAAGGAGCUCAGGACAUCCGUCGUCCCUGGCAUGACGCACUGGGCUAGCCCCAACUUCUUCGCCUUUUUCCCCUCCACCAACAGCGCCGCGGCAAUCGCCGGCGACCUCAUCGCCUCCGCCAUGAACACCGUCGGGUUCACAUGGCAGGCCUCUCCCGCGGCCACCGAGAUGGAGGUUCUCGCGCUCGACUGGCUUGCGCAGCUCCUUCGCCUGCCAACCACCUUCAUGAAUCGCACAAGCACUGGCCGCGGCACUGGUGGUGGUGUCAUCCUCGGCACCACGAGCGAAGCAAUGCUCGUCACGCUGGUCGCCGCCCGUGACGCCGCGUUGCGUAGAAGCGGCUCUGUCGGCGUGGCCGACCUGCCGCGCUUGACUGUGUAUGCUGCCGACCAGACCCACUCCACGUUCUUCAAGGCAUGCCGCCUUGCAGGCUUCGACCCCGCCAACAUCCGCUCCAUCCCUACUGGGUCGGAAACCGACUACGGACUCGACCCGACCAAGCUUCUCGAGAUCAUGCAAGCUGAUACCGAUGCCGGUCUCGUGCCAACAUAUGUCUGCGCCACAGUGGGCACAACGUCUUCCAACGCCGUCGACCCGGUGGGUGCCGUCGCUGACGUUGCCGCCCUUUUCAAUGUGUGGGUCCAUGUCGACGCUGCCUACGCUGGCAGUGCGUGCAUCUGCCCGGAGUUCCGCCACCAUCUCGAUGGCGUCGAGCGCGUGGACUCCAUUAGCAUGAGCCCACACAAAUGGCUUCUCACAUGCCUCGAUUGCACCUGUCUCUAUGUCCGCGAUGCUCACCGCCUAAGUGACUCGUUGGAGACCAACCCGGAGUACCUAAAGAAUGAUGCUACAGACUCGGGCGAGGUCACCGAUCUUAAGGACAUGCAGGUCGGCGUCGGUCGGCGGUUCCGUGGGCUCAAGCUCUGGAUGGUCAUGCGCACAUAUGGUACCGCAAAGCUCCAAGAGCACAUCCGUAGCGACGUCGCCAUGGCGAAGAUGUUUGAAGAUUUUGUUCGUGCCGAUGACAGGUUCGAGGUGGUCGUACCAAGGAACUUUGCUCUCGUGUGUUUCAGGAUCAAGGCAACUGGCGCCAUGACAGAGGAGGAUGCCGAUGAGGCCAACCGUGUGCUCAUGGAGAAUCUGAAUAAGACCGGUAAGGCUUAUCUUGCACACACGGUGGUUGGUGAUAGGUUCGUGCUUCGGUUCGCCGUGGGGUCGUCCCUGCAGGAGGAGAGGCAUGUGAGGAGUGCCUGGGACCUCAUCAAGAAGACUACUAGCAGUAUCAUGGAUUAA
rnacentral:rRNA from 1 species